UACGGAGGGUGCAAGCGUUAUCCGGAUUCACUGGGUUUAAAGGGUGCGUAGGUGGGUUGGUAAGUCAGUGGUGAAAUCCCCGAGCUUAACUUGGGAACUGCCAUUGAUACUAUCAAUCUUGAAUACUGUGGAGGUCAGCGGAAUAUGUCAUGUAGCGGUGAAAUGCUUAGAUAUGACAUAGAACACCAAUUGCGAAGGCAGCUGGCUACACAACUAUUGACACUGAGGCACGAAAGCGUGGGGAUCAAACAGG
rnacentral:rRNA from 1 species